ACAAUGGCAGGUACAGAGGGAUGCUACCGGGCGACCGGAUGCGGAUCUCGAAAGCCUGUCCCAGUUCGGAUUGGAGUCUGCAACCCGACUCCACGAAGUUGGAUUCGCUAGUAAUCGCGCAUCAGCCAUGGCGCGGUGAAUACGUUCCCGGGCCUUGUACACACCGCCCGUCAAGCCAUGGGAGCCGGGGGCGCCUGAAGUCCGGGACCGCGAGGACCGGCCUAGGGCGAAACUGGUAACUGGGGCUAAGUCGUAACAAGGUAUC
rnacentral:rRNA from 1 species